rnacentral:tRNA from 1 species
UCCCAUAUGCUAUAGUGGUUAGGAUUUGGCGUUUUCACCGCCAAGGCCCGGGUUCAAUUCCCGGUGUGGGAA